GGGCGGAUAGCUCAGUUGGUUAGAGCGCUGCCUUUACACGGCAGAGGUCACAGGUUCGACCCCUGUUCCGCCUACCA
rnacentral:tRNA from 2 species